GACGAACGCUGGCGGCGUGCUUAACACAUGCAAGUCGAACGGAAAGGCCCUGCUUUUGUGGGGUGCUCGAGUGGCGAACGGGUGAGUAACACGUGAGUAACCUGCCCUUGACUUUGGGAUAACUUCAGGAAACUGGGGCUAAUACCGGAUAGGAGCUCCUGCUGCAUGGUGGGGGUUGGAAAGUUUCGGCGGUUGGGGAUGGACUCGCGGCUUAUCAGCUUGUUGGUGGGGUAGUGGCUUACCAAGGCUUUGACGGGUAGCCGGCCUGAGAGGGUGACCGGCCACAUUGGGCCUGAGAUACGGCCCAGACUCCUACGGGAGGCAGCAGUGGGGAAUAGUGCACGAUGGGCGGAAGCCUGAUGCAGCAACGCCGCGUGCGGGAUGACGGCCUUCGGGUUGUAAACCGCUUUCGCCUGUGACGAAGCGUGAGUGACGGUAAUGGGUAAAGAAGCACCGGCUAACUACGUG
rnacentral:rRNA from 1 species